AAGUCGUAACAAGGUUUCCGUAGGUGAACCUGCGGAAGGAUCAUUAUUGAAUUUAGUGUGGAGGUUGUUGCUGGCUCUUUGGAGCAUGUGCACACUUCUUACAUCUAUAUUUUUCUCCACCUGUGCACCUCUUGUAGACUUGGAUAUCUCUCAAAAGUUUAACUUUUGGAUGUGAGAAUUGUUGUUUGCUUCUUUUUGAAGUCAGCUCUUUUCAAACUUUCAAGUCUAUGUUUUUAACACACUCUUUGAAAAAUUUAAUGAAUGUCAAUGGUCAUCUAGACCUUAAACUUAAAUACAACUUUCAACAAUGGAUCUCUUGGUUCUC
rnacentral:misc_RNA from 1 species